CCUAAUCCUUUCUGUGAGAGAGCAAAGGGAGUAAGAGGAUAUGAGGGAGCCAGCUGCCUUCAAGAGACUUGAAGCCUGGAGCAGGCUUGCUAAGUGAGCUAACCAGAGACACCUGGCACAGUACACAUCAGAGACAGACAUGAAAAUCUAUCGAAUAUCAUGUGCAGCAUGAAGCGGUGUCAUCUUUGCCUUCUAGAAAUUACCCCAAAGUUCAGUCUUCAUGCAAAGACAGGAUAAUCCCCUGUAGCUUUUUUUUUUUGCGGUGUUUCUUCCCUGUUGACUUCACAGCUCUUCAGUAAUGCUUGAUUUUGCAUGUAAAAGGACAUCCAUUGUGUUAGCUUACAAUGCUUAAUUUAUGUCCUGAC